AUUGAACGCUGGCGGCAGGCCUAACACAUGCAAGUCGAGCGGAUGAAGGGAGCUUGCUCCUGGAUUCAGCGGCGGACGGGUGAGUAAUGCCUAUGAAUCUUCCUGGUAGUGGGGGAUAACGUCCGUAAACGGGCGCUAAUACCGCAUACGUCCUGAGGGAGAAAGUGGGGGAUCUUCGAACCUCACGCUAUCAGAUGAGCCUAGGUCGGAUUAGCUAGUUGGUGGGGUAAAGGCCUACCAAGGCGACGAUCCGUAACUGGUCUGAGAGGAUGAUCAGUCACACUGGAAAUGAGACACGGUCCAGACUCCUAAGGGAGGCAGCAGUGGGGAAUAUUGGACAAUGGGCGAAAGCCUGAUCCAGCCAUGCCGCGUGUGUGAAGAAGGUCUUCGGAUUGUAAAGAACUUUAAGUUGGGAGGAAGGGCAGUAAGUUAAUACCUUGCUGUUUUGACGUUACCAACAGAAUAAGCACCGGCUAACUUAGUG
rnacentral:rRNA from 1 species